UACGUAGGGGACUAGCGUUGUCCGGAUUUAUUGGGCGUAAAGAGCGUGUAGGCGGCCAGAUAGGUCGGUUGUGAAAACUGGAGGCUUAACCUCCAGCCGUCGACCGAAACCAUCUGGCUAGAGUCCGGAAGAGGAGAGUGGAAUUCCUGGUGUAGCGGUGAAAUGCGCAGAUAUCAGGAAGAACACCCGUGGCGAAGGCGGCUCUCUGGGACGGUACUGACGCUGAGACGCGAAAGCGUGGGGAGCGAACAGG
rnacentral:rRNA from 1 species